AGCACAGAAAGGCAAGAAUCCAAGGUCUGGGGACUCCCGCUCCUGGUCUGGGGACCCAGGACAGCCCCGGCUCCGCCUCUCCUGCUGGGAACCCAGAACGCUCCCCUAAAAACAGGGCCCUCCGGUGGGCAAAACUCCAUCACUGAGCCGGGGAUCUGGACCGGGUUGGCCCCGGGGCCCUUUGCAGAACGCGUUCGCCCACCUGGCUCUAAGCGUCUCUAAUUUCCUGUCUCCGCGGAACGCGCUCUGGCAGCGGCUAGUUCCUGGACGGUGUAGAUCGGCUCCCAGUGACAGACUCCAUCCCUCCUCACUUAGCCUAGAGCAACUCGGUUAAAAUUAAACCUCUUUACCUUGGUCUUCUCUGUCUCUCCUGACGGAAGCUAAGCCCCAGGGGUCUUAUCCCUCUUGCCAACCUGCGGGGUAGUUUCUGCAUCUGCAUCUAGAACAGGACCGGGUUUCUCAUAACAGCGCUAUUAAUACUUGUUGAAUGGAUGAAGGCUUCUGUAAAUAGAUACUCUAAGCAACUCUGCCGUCUUUGAAAUUCUAUAGUUAGAGAGGACACCUUCAACUUGAAGCAAAUAGGGGGAUGGUCCUCGGCUAGAAGGCAAACGCCCCAGGCAUGUGGGCAGCGCACACAAAACUUCCUGCCCGAAGGAAUGUAAGUGAGAUCAGCUGGGUAGCCAUUUACACAUUAGUAUAAACAAGCUUUCUAUCGCAGUCAUGGAAGGACAUUUCAAGGACAGAAAAGAAAGGCAGAAUCAGAACACUGGGUAUGUGCGCAGGUCAAGGAGAGGGGACACUGACGGGAGAAGCGGACGAGAAGGGGAGGCCAAGGACACUGAAGACAAACUGUCCCAUCUUCCCCAGGAGUUGGCCCGGACAACCACUCUCAAACCUGUCAGUGGGCAAAGCCCGCUCGGUUAUUAGGUCACAAAAAUGGAAACCAUGUGCACUGUUGAUUUGCUCCCAGACCAUUUCUCCCCGAUGCUGUAAAACUGGACCCUCCCAAAGUGUUCCAGAACACCAGACGCCGAGGAAUCAGUAGGAGCUACGUAGGGAGAGAUUCCGGGGGAAAUGCCUGGUUAAAUGAAACCACACAGGUUUAUCAUUUCAGGACUUGCCAGAGCCUUUAUUAUGCUCACACGAGUAUCUUCACCUCUGGGAGGAGGCUCCAGAUGGUGGUAUGCCCGACUGUUUCUUCACGGAAACCCCUCAUCCGUUCUGCAUGGCACAGACCGACAUUCCCAGGAACACCAUUUGGGAAACACGGACCCCAAGGUUCGGACCAUGCGGGAAGUUCUGCCUGGUGCUCCCAGGAGGCAUGUCACUUCCGGGGGCAAUCAGGCACAGGGACACCUACGCGUAGCCUGGCUCCGAGUGACGGUCCCCAUCGUUUUUACAAAGAGGCUCCGGGCCCUGGUCCACAAAAGCUAAAGAAGGGCCACGCUCUGCCUCACUUACCUCUGCCCACAGCUCCUGCCUUCCAAGAGGAAGAGAGAAAGGGGAACA